rnacentral:rRNA from 1 species
CCCUUAGAUGUUCUGGGCUGCACACGUGCUACACUGGCAGGUUCAGCGAGCUUCAUGGCCUGAUCUGAAAGGAAUGGGAAAUCUUUUCAAAACCUGCCGUGCUUGGGAUAGAUGUUUGCAAUUAUUCAUCUUCAACGAGGAUUGCCUUGUAAGCGCACGUCAUCAGCGUGCAUUGAAUACGACCCUGUAUUCUGUACACACCGCCCGUCGCUCCUACCGAUUGAAGUUUUCGGUGAGUUGACAGGAGGAUUUUUUUGAAACUGGUUCGCCAGUGGAUUUUAGAUCCAAAUGCCAACGAAUCGAUGGCUUUAGAGGAAGGAGAAGUCGUAACA